rnacentral:rRNA from 1 species
GACGAACGCUGGCGGCGUGCUUAACACAUGCAAGUCGAACGGAAAGGGCCUGUAUUUGUGGGGUCCUCGAGUGGCGAAAAGGUGAGUAUCACGUGAGUAACCUCUGCCUUACUUUGGGGUAACUUCAGGGAACUGGGGCUAAUACCGGGUAUGAAAACCUGCUACACGAGGGGGGUGGUAAAAAGUUGGCGUUUGGGGAAGGACAGGCGGUCUAUCAGCUUGUUGGUGGGGUGGUGGCGUACAAAGGCAUUGACGGGUGGCCGGAUUGCGAGGGUGACCGGCCACAUUGGGCUAGGGGUGGGACCCAGACUGCUACGGGAGGAAGCAGUGGGGAAUAGUGCACAAUGGGCGGAAGCCUGAUGCAGCAACGCCGCGUGCGGGAUGACGGCCUUCGGGUUGUAAACCGCUUUCGCCUGUGACGAAGCGUGAGUGACGGUAAUGGGUAAAGAAGCACCGGCUAACUACGUG